rnacentral:rRNA from 1 species
AUACGGAGGGUGCAAGCGUUACUCGGAAUCACUGGGCGUAAAGCGCGCGCAGGCGGUUAUUUAAGUUGGAUGUGAAAGCCUACGGCUCAACCGUAGAACUGCAUCCAAAACUAUUUAGCUAGAGUGUGGGAGAGGAAGAUGGAAUUAGUUGUGUAGGGGUAAAAUCCGUAGAGAUAACUAGGAAUACCAAAAGCGAAGGCAAUCUUCUGGAACACUACUGACGCUGAGGCGCGAAAGCGUGGGGAGCAAACAGGAUUAGAAACCCCAGUAGUCC